UUCUAUAUUGCGUCUGAUAAAGUCUCAAUAUAUUUGCAAAUCUUGAUAUAUUGCCCAGUCCUAAUAUGUAAUAAGUAAAAAUACAUUCUUCAGUUU